rnacentral:rRNA from 1 species
CCUACGGGUGGCAGCAGUGGGGAAUCUUGCACAAUGGGGGCAACCCUGAUGCAGCAACGCCGCGUGAGCGAUGAAGUGUUUCGGUACGUAAAGCUCUGUCAUCAGGGAAGAAAAUGACGGUGCCUAACUAAGAAUCCACUGCUAACGACGUGCCAGCAGCCGCGGUAAUACGUAGGGGGCAAGCGUUAGCUGGAUUUACUGGGUGUAAAGGUAGCGUAGACGGUUGGGCAGGUCAGAUGUGAAAGCCCGGGGCUCAACCCAGGGAGUGCAUUUGGAACUGUGCGGCUAGAGUGCAGGAGAGGCAGGCGGAAUUCCUAGUGUAGCGGUGAAAUGCGUAGAUAUUAGGAGGAACACCAGUGGCGAAGGCGGCCUGCUGGACGACGACUGACGUUGAGGCUCGAAAGCGUGGGGAGCAAACAGGAUUAGAUACCCGUGUAGUC